rnacentral:sRNA from 1 species
CCUCACGGUACUUUGGCACCCGAUGUUUUAUCAGAAUGGGAGAAAUCUGGCCUAUCAACGCCCAGCAGGCAAUCGCUCUCGGCGUUUGGACAACCACUUGCAAGGAGAAGAGGCGGUUCUGCCAAUAGCCGGGCUUCUAGCCUUAGU